GGUGAACGCUAGCGGCAGGCUUAAUACAUGCAAGUCGUACGGGAUCCGAGGUAGCAAUACUUUGGUGAGAGUGGCGCACGGGUGCGUAACACGUAUGCAACCUACCUUUAACCGGGACACAACCUUGAGAAAUUGAGGCUAAUAUCCCAUAACACUGCGAAGUGGCAUCACUAUGCAGUUAAAACUCCGGUGGUUAUUGAUGGGCAUGCGCGACAUUAGCUAGUUGGUGAGGUAACGGCCCACCAAGGCUACGAUGUCUAGGGGUUCUGAGAGGAUUAUCCCCCANACUGGUACUGAGACACGGACCAGACUCCUACGGGAGGCAGCAGUAAGGAAUAUUGGUCAAUGGGCGCAAGCCUGAACCAGCCAUGCCGCGUGAAGGAUGACGGCCCUAUGGGUUGUAAAAGAGCUUUAAGUAGGGAAGAAGAAAGUGACGGCACCUACAGAAUAAGCGACGGCUAAAAUACGUGCCAGCAGCCG
rnacentral:rRNA from 1 species